rnacentral:rRNA from 1 species
AAUUGACGGGGACCCGCACAAGCGGUGGAUGAUGUGGAUUAAUUCGAUGCAACGCGAAGAACCUUACCUACCCUUGACAUGUCCGGAACUUGCCAGAGAUGGCUUGGUGCCCGAAAGGGAAUCGGAACACAGGUGCUGCAUGGCUGUCGUCAGCUCGUGUCGUGAGAUGUUGGGUUAAGUCCCGCAACGAGCGCAACCCUUAUCAUUAGUUGCUACGCAAGGGCACUCUAAUGAGACUGCCGGUGACAAACCGGAGGAAGGUGGGGAUGACGUCAAGUCCUCAUGGCCCUUAUGGGUAGGGCUUCACACGUCAUACAAUGGUCGGUACAGAGGGUUGCCAAGCCGCGAGGCGGAGCCAAUCCCACAAAGCCGAUCGUAGUCCGGAUUGUUCUCUGCAACUCGAGAGCAUGAAGUCGGAAUCGCUAGUAAUUGCAGGUCAGCAUACUGCGGUGAAUACGUUCCCGGGUCUU